rnacentral:rRNA from 1 species
UUGGAGGGCAAGUCUGGUGCCAGCAGCCGCGGUAAUUCCAGCUCCAAUAGCGUAUAUUAAAGUUGUUGCAGUUAAAAAGCUCGUAGUUGAAUUUCGGGAUCAAUACGUCGGUCGUGCUUUUUUGGUACGCACUGGCGUCAUUGGUUUCUCCUUUCUGACGAACCAUGAUGUCAUUAAUUUGGUGUUAUGGGGAGUUAGGACUGUUACUUUGAAAAAAUUAGAGUGUUUAAAGCAGGCAUUAGCUUGAAUACAUUAGCAUGGAAUAAUGAAAUAGGACGUUCGAUCCUAUUUUGUUGGUUUCUAGGAUCAACGUAAUGAUUAAUAGGGAUAGUUGGGGGCAUUAGUAUUCAAUUGUCAGAGGUGAAAUUCUUGGAUUUAUUGAAGACUAACUACUGCGAAAGCAUUUGCCAAGGAUGUUUUCAUUAAUCAAGAACGAAAGUUAGGGGAUCGAAGACGAUCAGAUACCGUCGUAGUCUUAACCAUAAUCUAUGCCGACUAGGGAUCGGAUGAUGUUAAUUUUUUAAUGACUCAUUCGGCGCCUUACGGGAAAC